AGGGCCGCACCCGUGGCAUAUGGGGAUUUCCAGGCUAAGGGUCGAAUCAGAGCUACAGCUGCCAGCCUACACCACGGCCAGAGCAACACAGGAUCUGAGCCACAUCUGCGACCUACGCCACAGCUCAUGGUAAUGCCACGUCCUUAAGCCCACUGAGCGAGACCAGGGACUGAACCCGAAACCUCAUGGUUCCUAGUCGGAUUCAUUUCCUCUACACCACAACGGGAACUCCCGGGAGCAUCGAUUCUUGAGCAGGCCUCCCGGGGGUCAGAAUGCCGGCUCUGUCGGUUACUUGCUGGGGGGCUUUGUGUGUGUGACCUCCCUCCCUGCGCCUCAGUCUCCUCCUCCUGACGCAGGGGUCAUGAUGCUGGGGAUGGUGGUUGUGAGGACAGAGGGAGGCAGCCGGUUCAAGUCACCCAGAGCGGGGCACACAGCUGUCACCACCCCCCGACAGCUGGCAAGGCGUCGGAUCAGGGCAUUUGCACGCAGGUCAGGCAGAUGGCCAGCUUCUGUUGUAGAUGUUGUAGAUGUUUCUUUGCGGGGAGAGGGUUAGGUGGAGGUGGGGAGGGAGACGGUGGCUUCACUAAAAAGCAAUUUGUGAGCUCUCUCAGCACAUCCAUGAAAGAGCAACGCUUCCACGUGUGGUUACUUUUGCUCAUAACUGCAUCUUACCGUAGCCCUAUCAUGAGGAAUUUGUGCUUUCAGUAUAAAUUAUAAAUCUAAACACAUGCAGGGUUUGUUUUCCCCCCAAAGCAGAUUCCAACCAGCAUGAAACCAGCCAAUCCAAAUAAAUUGUGCGCUAAGUCCAUUGUUUCCAGCAACAUGUAAACUGCUGGGCUGUAAAGAAUUGCUUUGAAGAAGGCGCCCCAUUAGUGCCCCUAGCAUCAGGGUUCAAUUUGGGCUGCGCAUUUUUGAAGAGUUUACUAGAAAUUUGUGGCUACAAAAGACACGCAUUGGGGUGGGUGGUGGUGGUGGGGGGGGGAAGCCUUCUUACCAAAUUGUAGAAGAUGCCUUGAGCGGGGGCUCUCAUAAAAGCACAGAAGAAAGCCGCAACCCUGAACGCCGAAUUCCUCAGCUGGGGAAGUCAUUCUGGGAAUGCGAAGAUGGCUUUCUAGGUUAUGCCUUCACCAAGCAGAGAAGGUCAGGUCCUCGAGAAGCCCUGUGGGCACUCAGGUGCGGGGCACUAUUGACUUAACUGGGGUUGGUUCUGGAAAGAGUUGACUCUGGAGGGUCCCUCGGGGAGUGCAGAGGGCAACUGGGAUUCUCCUUCAGGUCAGGGCUCGGUCUCUGCUAAUCCCCCCGGCGGAUUAGGCUCCCAGCUUUCAGGACAGAUUUGUCCCUCUGUUUACGGCUGAGGUCAGGGGGGGACCCUGUCAUUCCAAAGGUUUCCCCAGCUCAGCAGAGCCAGCCUCCAUCCAAUGGAUCAGUCGUCUGUCACAGCCGAGCGGAGGUGCCAGGGACUGGACUCUGGGGCAAGCUGAGGGUGGGGGAGAUGCCCGGCAGUGCCGGGUUGGGAUCUUUAUCUCCAGGAAGAACCCGGACAUUGCAGGGUCUCUUCAGUGCUGAAGGGUCGAUCAAAGAGGAGAGACCUGUCGCCACUCUCUGCAGGAAAAUGAUGGAUUUUACCAAGAGGGAUGAGCUGUCUCUGGUCAAGCUCAUCCCCAUGCCCUCCGGAAUCGGAGACCCCUUCGCCAUCCCAGACUUUGUCCCUUGUGGCUGAAGGAGGCUGGGGGUUUGGAGAAGUGACGAGUUCGAAAGAGCUCAGCCAGGAGUGAGGCUGCUGGGGUCCAGUCAGGCUUUUCCAUGAAAAUUAGACAAUGACUGAAUUCAGCAUCAUUUAUCGAGCACCUGCUCUGCCCUGGGCACUGAGUAGGCAGUGGUGCACAGGGCAGUUGUGGGCUUUCCUCUCCCGUGGAGAAGGAUGAGACAACAGGCAAGCUCGGGGGCUGGUGAUGAAGACAAUGAUGAAAAUCACAUCUAUUUCGUCGGAGCCAGCUGUGUGCCAGGCGGGGUCUGUGCACUUUAUAGACAAUGCGUCAAUACUUCUCACCUUUAACGUGUACACGGAUCACUUCAGGAUCCAGUCAAAAGUCAGAAUCUGGUUCAGAAGGUUGGGGGAGGGGCCCAGGAUUCUGUCCUAACAAGCUCCCAGGCAAAGCCCUGUCUGCUGGUCCACAGACUGAGCAACAAGGUAGUAUUUCUUCUAAUCCUCACGACAACCCAGUGCGGCACUACAGCCAUUCCUGUUUUAUUUAUUUGUUAAAAAAUCUUCUGUUAUAGUUGACUUAGUGUUCUGUCCAUUUCUGCUGUACAGCAAAGUGACCCAGUCAUACAUACACAUAUAUAUGUACACUCUUUUUCCCAUAUUAUCGUCUAUCAUCUUCUAUUACAGGAGAUUGGGUAGAGUUCCCUGUGCUGUAUGCAGGACCUCAUUGCUUACGCAUUGUAAAUGUGACAGUUUGCAUCUAUUAACCCCAAACUCUCAGCCCAUCCAUUUUUUUUUAUUUAUUUAUUUUUGCCACACCCAUGGCAUGCGGAAGUUCCUGGGCCAGGGAUCGAAUCCACGCCACUGCAGUGCCCCGAGCCACAGCAGUGACCAUGCCAGAUCCUUAACCUGCUGAGCCACCAGGGAACUCGAUAGUUACCCCAUUUUACAGAUGAGGAAAUAGAGCGGUCAAGUGACUUGCCCCAGGUCAUACUGGGAAGGAGAGGAGCCAGGACUGGAAGCGGCCUGUGUGCUUAUGCUGUUCUGCCGUGAGCGGGUAGUGAGGACGCCCGGGGGAAGGGCUCCACACUCAGAGUGGGGGGUUGGGAGAAAGCGCAGGAGAAUGUGGCUCCUGCGUGGGUUCCCGCAGGUUAAGGGUUAAGGCACUCAGCAGGGGAAAGUGGGAAUCCAGGAGGGCGGUGGGAGACAGCCAAGUGGAGCGAGUUCUGCUGGGGGAACCACGGGAGGGAGCCAGGCACUUCAGAAGGACUGAGAUGGGGUGGGGGGGUAAAGCAGGAGGGGCGUCCCAGGUGAGGCAGGGCCCGAAGGCCGCAGGCACGGCCUCCCCCAGGGCUGGAGGGCAGAGGUUCUCUAGGAGGAUCACGUAACCUGUCUGUCUGCUCAUCCUUCCCUGGUGACACACGUCCCUGGGGCAGCCCCUGCAGCCUCGAAGGCACGUCCUCACUGCCCCGCCCUCUGGCACGUCCUACCUGGGCUGAAAGUAGCACUUGGCACUGCAGGUUUCUGUUUCCGCGCCCGUGUCCCACUAGGACAUUUCCUCCUUCGUCAUCUCUGUCCCCGAAUUCCCCAGCCUGGCACGUGGGAUGAUAACACCAGCCUUGCAGACAUCUCGAGGAUGCUGCGAGGCGGGGAGAUGUGGACAUCGUUUCAAAGUGUUAGGACGUCUGUGCUCCGGGAAGCUGCGUGCCUGUGGGGGCUGCAGCGAAGAUGCUGGGGCAAUGGGGAGUAAGCGUGAUCACUCAGGGACUUGAGAGGGUCCAUCACACCUCUCUCUGCCAGGCCUCCUUUUGGCCUUGUGACCCCCAAAUGCCAGCAACUCAACCACCCUGAUGACUCUGGCCCCAUUCAUUUGCCACCUGGGCUCUGAUGCAGUAAAUAUUUUUGUUUACAUGAAUUUACUCUCUUGCCUAGUUUUUUUUUUUUUUUUUUUUUUUUUUUUUGGCCAUGCCUGCAGCAUGUGGAAGCUCCCAGGCUGGGGAUCAAACCUGUGCCACAGCAGUGAGAACACCAGAUCUUUAACCCAUGGAGCCACCAGGGAAC
ensembl:lncRNA